rnacentral:rRNA from 1 species
GACGAACGCUGGCGGCGCGCCUAACACAUGCAAGUCGAACGGAGCAUGCGGAGUGAUUUUCUUCGGAGAUGAACUUUGCAUUGCUUAGUGGCGAACGGGUGAGUAACACGUGAACAACCUGCCUUGAAGUGGGGGACAACAUUUGGAAACGAAUGCUAAUACCGCAUAAGACCACGGUACCGCAUGGUACAGUGGCCAAAGGAGCAAUCCGCUUUAAGAUGGGUUCGCGUCUGAUUAGCUAGUUGGUGAGGUAAUGGCCCACCAAGGCAACGAUCGGUAGCCGGACUGAGAGGUCGAUCGGCCACAUUGGGACUGAGAUACGGCCCAGACUCCUACGGGAGGCAGCAGUGGGGAAUAUUGGGCAAUGGGCGAAAGCCUGACCCAGCGACGCCGCGUGAGGGAAGAAGUAUCUCGGUAUGUAAACUUCUAUCAGCAGGGAAGAAGCGUGAGCAAUCACGCCUGACGGUACCUGACUAAGAAGCCCCGGCUAAUUACGUGCCAGCAGCCGCCGUAACAC